rnacentral:rRNA from 1 species
CUAUAAUGCAGUCGAGCGGACAGAUGGGAGCUUGCUCCCUGAUGUUAGCGGCGGACGGGUGAGUAACACGUGGGUAACCUGCCUGUAAGACUGGGAUAACUCCGGGAAACCGGGGCUAAUACCGGAUGGUUGUUUGAACCGCAUGGUUCAAACAUAAAAGGUGGCUUCGGCUACCACUUACAGAUGGACCCGCGGCGCAUUAGCUAGUUGGUGAGGUAACGGCUCACCAAGGCGACGAUGCGUAGCCGACCUGAGAGGGUGAUCGGCCACACUGGGACUGAGACACGGCCCAGACUCCUACGGGAGGCAGCAGUAGGGAAUCUUCCGCAAUGGACGAAAGUCUGACGGAGCAACGCCGCGUGAGUGAUGAAGGUUUUCGGAUCGUAAAGCUCUGUUGUUAGGGAAGAACAAGUACCGUUCGAAUAGGGCGGUACCUUGACGGUACCUAACCAGAAAGCCACGGCUAACUACGUGCCAGCAGCCGCGGUAAUACGUAGGUGGCAAGCGUUGUCCGGAAUUAUUGGGCGUAAAGGGCUCGCAGGCGGUUUCUUAAGUCUGAUGUGAAAGCCCCCGGCUCAACCGGGGAGGGUCAUUGGAAACUGGGGAACUUGAGUGCAGAAGAGGAGAGUGGAAUUCCACGUGUAGCGGUGAAAUGCGUAGAGAUGUGGAGGAACACCAGUGGCGAAGGCGACUCUCUGGUCUGUAACUGACGCUGAGGAGCGAAAGCGUGGGGAGCGAACAGGAUUAGAUACCCUGGUAGUCCACGCCGUAAACGAUGAGUGCUAA